UUGGCAUUAUGAUGAAUAUCUCAUAUCAAUUCUGAGAAUUUUUUUAUCUGACAGAAUUUAAACCUCCUACUCAUUCUGA